GAGAGAAGUUAUCACUCCGACUCCGAAGAUACUCAAGAUGAAGGUGUUGCCGGUCUAGCACUUGUGUCAACCAACUCCUACGACAUAUUUGACUCACCAAAUGAAGGAAUUGGAAGAUGCUUCAUGGCCAAAGGUCCUAAGGUAACACACCCCGAGUAUGUUGAUUUCAAUAGUGAUGAAGAUGACUUGUUAGGUGAUGAUUUGCUUGUUGACAACUCUAGUGAUGAAUACUAUGAUGAAACGUCAAUUAAUCAUGCUAAUCAAGAUAAAAUGAAUGACAAUGAUAAGGAGAAGAUUGGGGAUCUAACUAAAGAACUAAACACUCUUAAGUUAGCUCAUGAAACUAUCUUCGAAGAUCAUCGAGAACUUUUAAGAGCUCAUGAGAAAUUACGCUUUGAAAAGAUCAAUCUUGAGCAAGAGCAUGAGUUCUUAAAAGCAAUCAAUGAUGAUCUCCGCAAGAAAAGUUCUUCUUAC
rnacentral:rRNA from 1 species